GAUGAACGCUGGCGGCGUGCUUAAUACAUGCAAGUCGAGCGAACAGACGAGGAGCUUGCUCCUCUGACGUUAGCGGCGGACGGGUGUGUAACACGUGGAUAACCUACCUAUAAGACUGGGAUAACUUCGGGAAACCGGAGCUAAUACCGGAUAAUAUAUUGAACCGCAUGGUUCAAUAGUGAAAGACGGUUUUGCUGUCACUUAUAGAUGGAUCCGCGCCGCAUUAGCUAGUUGGUAAGGUAACGGCUUACCAAGGCAACGAUGCGUAGCCGACCUGAGAGGGGGGUAGCCCACACUGGAGCUGGGACACGGUCCAGACGCCUACGGGAGGCAGCAGUAGGGAAUCUGCCGCAAUGGGCGAAAGCUUGACGGAGCAGCGCCGCGUGAGUGAUGAAGGUCUUCGGAGCGUAAAACUCUGUUAUUGGGGAAGAACAGAUGUGUAAGUAACUAUGCACGUCUUGACGGUACCUAAUCAGAAAGCCACGGCUAACUACGUG
rnacentral:rRNA from 1 species